rnacentral:rRNA from 1 species
GACGAACGCUGGCGGCGUGCCUAAUACAUUCAAGUAGAACGCUGAAGGAGGAGCUUACUUCUCUGGAUGAGUUGCGAACGGGUGAGUAACGAGUAGGUAACCUGCCUGGUAGCGGGGGAUAACUAUUGGAAACGAUAGCUAAUACCGCAUACGAGCAGAUGUUGCAUGACAUUUACUCAAAAGGUCCAAUUGCACCACUACCAGAUGGACCUGCGUUGUAUUAGCGAGUUGGUGGGGUAACGGCUUACCAAGGCGACGAUACAUAGCCGACCUGGGAGGGUGAUGGGCCACACUGGGACUGAGACACGGCCCAGACUCCUACGGGAGGAAGCAGUAGGGAAUGUUCGGCAAUGGACGGAAGUCUGACCGAGCAACGCCGCGUGAGUGAAGAAGGUUUUCGGAUCGUAAAGCUCUGUUGUAAGAGAAGAACGAGUGUGAGAGUGGAAAGUUCACACUGUGACGGUAUCUUACCAGAAAGGGACGGCUAACUACGUGCCAGCCGCCGCCGUAA